rnacentral:rRNA from 1 species
GUCAGUAGCUGUACCACCUGCAGUUCAGACUAGGAAAUCUACCUAAAGCUAAGCAGGUUUGGCCCUGGCCUGUAGUGGAAUGGGAGACCAAGUAGGAAAGCUGGACUGCUGCUGUUG